rnacentral:lncRNA from 1 species
ACCAAGGCGGUGGCCGCUGGGGCUGUGGCUGAGGGCGGGAUUGUGGAGGGUGAAGGCGCGUGCUGUUGUGCUGAGCGCGUGACCACGGUCAAGGAUCCUUACGGUUUCGUCUGGCAAUUCUGCUCUCCUGCCGAUGAGUGCGGUGCUAACGUGGAAGCUUAAAUGCCGUAUGAUCUUAUGAUAUUGGUUCGCUUUGGUUCUUAGUGUUGUCUGUCUUUCAUAUUUUACUUUGUAGUAGUGGGACCCUUAUAUCCGAGAAGUUCUCUGCCUAUUUGGAUUAGGUGAUUCGUAGGGUUAGUCUCGCCUAGUAGUGACAUGACUAUGGUUUUUUGGUAAUUUCGAGAACACCUUGGAGGAGAUAUGG